GAGAUUCAGUAGGAANNNAGAGUGGGNGAAAGGNGGGCCCCNCCGGACANAAUAUUGACACUUCAAAUGCGGAAAGCGUGGGGGAGCAAACAGAGAUUAAGAUACCCCUGGUAGUCCACGCCGUAAACGAUGUCUACUUNGAGGUUGUGGGCCUUGAGCCGUGGCUUUCGGAGCUAAACGCGUUAAGUAGACCGCCUGGGGAGUACGGUCGCAAGAUUAAAACUCAAAUGAAUUGACGGGGGCCCGCACAAGCGGUGGAGCAUGUGGUUUAAUUCGAUGCAACGCGAAGAACCUUACCUACUCUUGACAUCUACAGAAGCCAGCGGAGACGCAGGUGUGCCUUCGGGAACUGUAAGACAGGUGCUGCAUGGCUGUCGUCAGCUCGUGUUGUGAAAUGUUGGGUUAAGUCCCGCAACGAGCGCAACCCUUAUCCUUGUUUGCCAGCACUUCGGGUGGGAACUCCAGGGAGACUGCCGGUGAUAAACCGGAGGAAGGUGGGGACGACGUCAAGUCAUCAUGGCCCUUACGAGUAGGGCUACACACGUGCUACAAUGGCGCAUACAGAGGGCGGCCAACUUGCGAAAGUGAGCGAAUCCCAAAAAGUGCGUCGUAGUCCGGAUUGGAGUCUGCAACUCGACUCCAUGAAGUCGGAAUCGCUAGUAAUCGUGGAUCAGAAUGCCACGGUGAAUACGUUCCCGGGCCUUGUACACACCGCCCGUCACACCAUGGGAGUGGGCUGCAAAAGAAGUGGGUAGUUUAACCUUCGGGAGGACGCUCACCACUUUGUGGUUCAUGACUGGGGUGAAGUCGUAACAAGGUAACCG
rnacentral:rRNA from 1 species